rnacentral:rRNA from 1 species
GACGAACGCUGGCGGCGUGCCUAAUACAUGCAAGUCGAACGAGAGCGACCGGUGCUUGCACUGGUCAAUCUAGUGGCGAACGGGUGAGUAACACGUGGGUAACCUGCCCAUCAGAGGGGGAUAACAUUCGGAAACGGAUGCUAAAACCGCAUAGAUCUUCGAACCGCAUGGUUUGAAGAGGAAAAGAGGCGCAAGCUUCUGCUGAUGGAUGGACCCGCGGUGCAUUAGCUAGUUGGUGAGGUAACGGCUCACCAAGGCCGUGAUGCAUAGCCGACCUGAGAGGGUGAUCGGCCACAUUGGGACUGAGACACGGCCCAAACUCCUACGGGAGGCAGCAGUAGGGAAUCUUCCGCAAUGGACGCAAGUCUGACGGAGCAACGCCGCGUGAGUGAAGAAGGUUUUCGGAUCGUAAAACUCUGUUGUUAGGGAAGAACAAGUGCUAGAGUAACUGUUAGCGCCUUGACGGUAUCUAACCAGAAAGCCACGGCUAACUACGUGCCAGCAGCCGCGGUAAUACGUAGGUGGCAAGCGUUGUCCGGAUUUAUUGGGCGUAAAGCGAGCGCAGGCGGUUCCUUAAGUCUGAUGUGAAAGCCCCCGGCUCAACCGGGGAGGGUCAUUGGAAACUGGGGAACUUGAGUGCAGAAGAGGAGAGUGGAAUUCCAUGUGUAGCGGUGAAAUGCGUAGAUAUAUGGAGGAACACCAGUGGCGAAGGCGACUCUCUGGUCUGUAACUGACGCUGAGGCUCGAAAGCGUGGGUAGCAAACAGG